rnacentral:misc_RNA from 1 species
AGCAGCCGCGGUAAUUCCAGCUCCAAUAGCGUAUAUUAAAGUUGUUGCAGUUAAAAAGCUCGUAGUUGAAUUUCGGGAUCAAAGGAUCGGUCAUGCCUUGGUAUGUACUGGUUUUAUUGGUUCUCACCUUCUAAAGAACCAUAAUGUCAUUCAUUUGAUGUUAUGGGGAAUUAGGACUGUUACCUUGAAAAAAUUAGAGUGUUUAAAGCAGGCUUACGCUUGAAUACAUUAGCAUGGAAUAAUGAAAUAGGACAUCAGAUUCUAUUUUGUUGGUUUCUAGGAUCGAUGUAAUGAUUAAUAGGGAUAGUUGGGGGCAUUAGUAUUCAAUUGUCAGAGGUGAAAUUCUUGGAUUUAUUGAAGACUAACUACUGCGAAAGCAUUUGCCAAGGAUGUUUUCAUUAAUCAAGAACGAAAGUUAGGGGAUCGAAGACGAUCAGAUACCGUCGUAGUCUUAACCAUAAACUAUGC